AGCAAGGAAUGACCAACUCUGUGAAAGGAAAAGCACAGUUCAAAUGAAACAUUUCUUGUGUGAAUGUGCCUUCACAUAGCACUGCAGAGCAGAGACAGAACAACCUCGUGAACUUCUCUUUACUCUCAGAGAUUGUUCACUCUAGGGUGCUGCAAAGAGCUGGAGGAAAUGAGCUUUGUUAAGCUCACAAUCGGGUGUUAUUUUUUACUUUUGUUGGACAUGUACAAUCAGAUACUCUGCAGUUUUACACAGAAGCAAGUCCACUUGACCUCUUGAUUUCUACAGAAUUAAAAGCGCUCCAAGAGAGCAGGCUGGGGCCCAGAGGAAG